UGCCUCUGUCGCCAAUUUAUUUCUGUAUUAGCACUUUUACUAUUUUCGUUUCUUCUGAAUUUAAUGUUAACAGCAAGACGGAACUAAUUAUUGGUUCCGCCCGGAGGUUUCCGGCCGGGCGCUUUUGAGCGACGCUCUGAGAAAAACAUUACCGCGAAAGAGACUGAUGUAUCCGCUGUUAUCGUGUUUAAGUGCAUAAGUUUACAAGAAAAUAGGCAGAAAGAAGAUACAGAAGAUCUGAAAGAAUGUUUUAGCACCUCCAUGUGAUAAGCAGCAAUGAGUUCUCACGGGUUGACCAGCAUUAAAGCCCUGUAUUCUAAACAAGACCUCUUGCCUCAUGUCUGUCACUGGAGGAGCUACAGUGAGAACUCAUCUGCUCUGCAUGAGUAGACGAGGAAGACAGUACCAAAGAGCCGUGAUCCAUGGACAAGAAGGGACAUCUCUACAUCCAAGACUGUGCAUCUGCCCCUGACAUUUACGCAUCCGCAGCAUCCACAGAAGAAUCCAGGUGCCUUUCCACGAAUCCGGCUGAAGUUAAGAAGCUUAAAUAUUUCCCACAAGAGACUGUGAAACAUCCCUUUUUGCCGUCAUAUUCAUACGGUAUAGUUGCGUGCAUGUUUAAGUGUUAACUAAGCUGCAAUUAAGAGACUUGAAAUGAAAAUAUUCUGCACAAAAGACUGAAUUUUGCAUUUUGUAGAAUAACAAGAUAUAGAUUUGUGUGAAAUAGAUCU